rnacentral:piRNA from 1 species
AGUAUGCUGUGAUACUGUGCACGC